UACAGAGGUCUCAAGCGUUGUUCGGAUUCAUUGGGCGUAAAGGGUGCGUAGGCGGCGCGGUAAGUCGGGUGUGAAAUCUCGGAGCUUAACUCCGAAACUGCAUUCGAUACUGCCGUGCUUGAGGACUGGAGAGGAGACUGGAAUUUACGGUGUAGCGGUGAAAUGCGUAGAUAUCGUAAGGAAGACCAGUGGCGAAGGCGGGUCUCUGGACAGUUACUGACACUGAGGCACGAAGGCCAGGGGAGCAAACGGG
rnacentral:rRNA from 1 species